UAGCGGAACUCCUACGGGAGGCAGCAGUGGGGAAUUUUGGACAAUGGGGGCAACCCUGAUCCAGCAAUGCCGCGUGAGUGAAGAAGGCCUUCGGGUUGUAAAGCUCUUUUGUCAGGGAAGAAACGGUAGUAGCUAAUAUCUAUUACUAAUGACGGUACCUGAAGAAUAAGCACCGGCUAACUACGUGCCAGCAGCCGCGGUAUUACGUAGGGUGCAAGCGUUAAUCGGAAUUACUGGGCGUAAAGCGUGCGCAGGCGGUUGUGUAAGUCAGAUGUGGAAUCCCCGGGCUCAACCUGGGAAUUGCAUUUGGGACUGCAAGGCUAGAGUGUGUCAGAGGGGGGUAGAAUUCCACGUGUAGCAGUGAAAUGCGUAGAUAUGUGGAGGAAUACCGAUGGCGAAGGCAGCCCCCUGGGAUAACACUGACGCUCAUGCACGAAAGCGUGGGGAGCAAACAGGAUUAGAAACCCUUGUAGUCCACUUAUG
rnacentral:rRNA from 1 species